CUUUCCUAGCGUGCAGUAGAAGCGAGCCUAAUAAUAAAGACGGCAAGAAAAAACAACACGUCGGCGCGGACGCCAAAUUAGGAUCGGAAAAAGAAAAACACCUGUCCAAGGGUAACAGCACGACCGUUCAGCCUAAAACUACUGCACCUGCUGGAAGCAAGAGACACAAGUCAUACACUACACCAAAGUCGACGACAGGAGCUCCUCUGUGCUCGGAAUGCAAUAACUGUCGCGGAUGUAACCCUGGCGCACCAAGCGGGGGCGGACCCGGCUGAUCUUUUAGUAGGCUGAAUACUGGGCUGCUAUGGCACGGUAAAUUUACAAAUAAGUGCAGACAAUUCCUGUGUUUUAUAGGCUGCUGACUAGAAUAUUAAAAGAUGUCAUAAC